rfam:Phaeomoniella chlamydospora PC4_TCR_scaffold_v01_29, whole genome shotgun sequence.
AGAGAAUUGACCGAGUGGUCUAAGGUGAUAAGCUUGAAACUUAUUUGAUAUAUUUUAUCACAUCCGUUCGAAUCGGAUAUUCUCUG